rnacentral:rRNA from 1 species
CCUACGGGGGGCGGCAGUGGGGAGUAUUGGGCAAUGGGCGCAAGCCUGACCCAGCAACGCCGCGUGAGGGAAGAAGGUUUUCGGAUUGUAAACCUCUGUCCUUGGGGACGAAAAAAAUGACGGUACCCAAGGAGGAAGCUCCGGCUAACUACGUGCCAGCAGCCCCGGUC